rnacentral:rRNA from 1 species
GACGAACGCUGGCGGCGUGCCUAAUACAUGCAAGUAGAACGCUGAAGGAGGAGCUUGCUUCUCUGGAUGAGUUGCGAACGGGUGAGUAACGCGUAGGUAACCUGCCUGGUAGCGGGGGAUAACUAUUGGAAACGAUAGCUAAUACCGCAUAAUAGUAGAUGUUGCAUGACAUUUGCUUAAAAGGUGCAAUUGCAUCACUACCAGAUGGACCUGCGUUGUAUUAGCUAGUUGGUGGGGUAACGGCUCACCAAGGCGACGAUACAUAGCCGACCUGAGAGGGGGAUCGGCCACACUGGACUGAGACACGGCCCAGACUCCUACGGGAGGCAGCAGUAGGGAAUCUUCGGCAAUGGACGGAAGUCUGACCGAGCAACGCCGCGUGAGUGAAGAAGGUUUUCGGAUCGUAAAGCUCUGUUGUAAGAGAAGAACGAGUGUGAGAGUGGAAAGUUCACACUGUGACGGUAUCUUACCAGAAAGGGACGGCUAACUACGUG